rnacentral:misc_RNA from 1 species
AAAAUGCGAUAAGUAAUGUGAAUUGCAGAAUUCAGUGAAUCAUCGAAUCUUUGAACGCACAUUGCGCCCGCCAGUAUUCUGGCGGGCAUGCCUGUUCGAGCGUCAUUUCAACCCUCAAGCCCCCGGGUUUGGUGUUGGGGAUCGGGCUGUGGUUCUACCGCGUCCCGGCCCCGAAAUCUAGUGGCGGUCUCGCUGCAGCCUCCAUUGCGUAGUAGCUAACACCUCGCAACUGGAACGCGGCGCGGCCAAGCCGUUAAACCCCCAACUUCUGAAUGUUGACCUCGGAUCAGGUAGGAAUACCCGCUGAACUUAAGC